rnacentral:rRNA from 1 species
UACGAAGGGUGCAAGCGUUGCUCGGAAUUACUGGGCGUAAAGCGUGCGUAGGUGGUGAGUUAAGUCUGUCGUGAAAGCCCCGGGCUCAACCUGGGAAUGGCGAUGGAUACUGGCUCGCUAGAGUGCGGUAGAGGAGAGUGGAAUUCCCGGUGUAGCGGUGAAAUGCGCAGAUAUCGGGAGGAACACCCGUGGCGAAGGCGGCUCUCUGGGACGGUACUGACGCUGAGACGCGAAAGCGUGGGGAGCGAACAGG